ensembl:lncRNA
UCUUUUAUCAUUUUCUUUCUGGCCGUUUCCUAGCCAUGAAGAUCAACUUGCUGGCCUGUACUUGAAACGCAGGUAACUCAAGGUGGUGUUCAUUGAGUCCCGCUAGUGCAAGCUAAGCACUAAUCUGCCAAGGUGUAGAAGUUGCCUUCCCAUCAUCUGCAUGGCUCAAAUCUCUGGGUAUUCUCUUCCAGAAGGUAUCAUCCCUUCUGCAAGGGAAGCUCCUGUAAAGCCAUAUGUGAAGAAAAUGUUUGAAAACAUAGGCCCACCUUCUCCACCUUGCUCUAUGCGUCUUAAUUAGACAGUGACACUUGUAGCAUUGUAGGAAAAAAACCGUGGCCAACCAAUAAUGAAAAGGGGUGAAUUUGUUAUGAUAAUAAAAUUUGCAGAUGGAGCUUGUCUCCUUCUCUCUCAUUUCCCUGGCAUGGACACUUGUGGGAAUGGGGAACUAGAGUUGGAUGCAACUUGCAUUUAGCAAGAUCCUUCGUUUUCUGCCUGGAUUUCACAAGGUUUGUGUGAGCAUGAGAAUAAUUAAAGUGAAAGGCAUCAAGAAGCAGAAGUUUCCUUUUGUAAUAAUGUAAAAUAAUUAUUAAAUUACAUUUGUUUUCUGGUUCUUCUCAAGCCUCAGUCUCCUCCUAUGAAUCUAUAGCAGCUUCAGUGAUGUGGUUUUGCUAAGGUAUCAGCAAAAACCUACUAGGUCUUCCUUCUGUAGGAGGUAGCAUCGCUGCCUGAUCUGCUGAAGGAAUGUGUGGUCCAAGGCAUGAACACAGACCCCUGCAGAAACCCUUAGCACAGCAGUGCAGAAUGAGUCUUGCCCUGCUCACAGGGAGCCCUAGGCUUCCGUGUUAGAUCAGGAGUUUCUGGUCCUGGACCAGCUAAAACAAAUUGGUUGCCUUCUCUCUGUUCAGUGGACCCAGUAAAUGGGACUGGCUGUUGCAACCUGCUGGUGGCACUUGAGACAAGCUGUGGGGCAGUGGGAGCCCACUGUGGGGAGUGGGAAAUAGCUCUGGGCUCCCCAUGAAGUCAAUACCUGGCAGCAGCUUCACUGCAGGCACAGCACAACCAAGUCCAGCUCCUGCACUUCCCAACUGCAUCAUCAUAGGCUUCAGCACUGGACCAAUCCUGAAGGGGAAAAUGAAGGGGGCUGGCUGGUUUACAGAUGGAUGAACUCAUUGAGAACCCUAGCACCUGAGCCCUGAGUUCAAUUUAAUAUUGUAGCCUACAGCACUUUGCCGCUACUGCAUGCAACCUCAUGACAAGAAUUACUGAAGGAAGGUCUCUGCAAUGAAGGAGCCAAACGUCUUCUGUUCCUUGCAGUAGAAAUGGCAAACAUCCAUGAGCAGAGAUGGCCGGGGUCUCCAGCCCUGGCUGGCUGUUACAAUGAGCAGCAUCCAGGGAAAGAAGUUUUCUGCUGACCUGUGAUCAAGGGAAAUGAAAGAUGAGAGAAGAUAAAUCAAAUCUGCUUCUUGUCUAUUCUUGUCUAUCCAACUCUUGCUCCACAUGCAAUGAUAAACUUUCAGGCCAAAUAAAGGAAAAUCUGAAGCAAGCCUAAGGAAGACCAAGGAAGUGCCUGAGGAAGAUCUCCCUUUGGCAACAGGUCUCAUGGUCUGAGAAAAAGACAGCAGACAAAAAUGCAUUUUUUUGGUAACUGCGAAGAAAGGCAGAGAGUUUUCGAACAGCACAGCAUGAGUUAACCCUCUUAUCACCUGCUGCCAAAUGCGCUCAUGCAUCUUUAGUACAAUGCCAAGCAGAUGCAUUCAGAUUCUUUAUAAGACUGAGGUACCAAACCUGUACUUCACACUGUGAGUGAGCAACAACACAUUGUUGCAUGGAGCAAUAACACAUUACUGCAGGCGGGAUUUGGUGAGAAUCUGUGUAAGAUUGCUUUUGCAGAGGCCACUUGCACAAAAGCCUCUGCUGCAGCAACAUUGUCUUCCAUCUUGAUCUUCUAGAAAUAAAAAAAAAGAAAGGUUUACAAAAUUACUGUGUCUUGCCUGUGAAAGAUGAAUCAUAGUGCUUUUCAAUAGAGCUGCAGGUUGUCAGGGGACCCUCGUCAAGGUUAUUGUUUUGAGCACCUGCAAAAAACACAUUUUUUUAAGGCUUUCUACCACUUAGAAAAGAAAUGAGAAAGGAGAUGAGAACAGACAGAUGAAAACUCGACUUAGCUGACUGCAAGCUUCUGUCACCCGGGGAAAUGUGAAGCAAAUUACACAGCACAAUCCAAACAAUAUGAAAUCGGUUUAAACAGAUUUUUUUUUUUUUUUUUUUUGCUAAAUAUCUGCCUUCCAAGCCCAUUCCUCCCAAAUCCCCCAAAGCUGGCUUUAUCCAUGCUUUGACUUCAAUAUGUACAGCUUAUGGCAGAAGGUUUUACACCCUGGAAUUUGAGAUGCACCGGAGCGCAGGAGACUCCAUCUCCAGCAGGCAGACACCACAUCACAGACUAAUUUAAACCAUCGUCUGCAUUCACACUGGAAAAGGCAUUUGCUUUCUUAGCUGAUUGCCUGUUCUGGGGUCUAUUCUAAUGUCCAAAUUUACUGCCAUGAAAGUAGAGAUUAAUUUAUUCCAAAAAUCAAAUUAUUCACAAGCACUGAAUUUCAAUGCAUCACAGGUGGUACAUACAUGGGUGAUCUAAUUCCACUGAUUGGCCACUAAGAUCAGUAAGCAUGAACAUAGCACAGGUCUUCAGUAUUAACACUCAGGAAUGGUUCUGCCAUGGCGUGUCAACAGCAGUCCACGUAGCUGGGAACUCUCACAUGGCAUUCUAUAGGAAUAAGGAAAGCAGAACAAAUAAGGGAGAGAACUUGGGCAUAAGUAUUCCUCAUCUCACCACGGACACUGAUGCUGCUGGAAAACUUUUUGUGAUGCUCACCCCUAUGACACACUCAUACCAUGCACACACACAGCUAAACUGUGGGGAGAGAUGCAAGUAGCCUAAUGGCAGAAGGGCUGGUUACCGAACUGGUGCUACACAGAGGGGCAGUUCCUUGCUAUUUACACAGCUAUCCUCUCCAGUUCCUGCUUGGGUGCUUCAUGAAGUAGGUCAACAGGCUGCAUUAAUUCAGAGACCAUCAGUCUUCAUAUAUGCCACUACAGCCCCCAGAAACUACUGCCAGAUUUAUACAGGUUUGUUUUGUUGCCAUACUUCAAGCACAGCAGAGCUGCACCAAUGGAAAUACAUCCUCUUGCUGAUGUGAUUUAUUUAUUACAGGGGGCCCGCAGGAAAGCAGGAGAGGGACUUUUUAUAAGGGCAGGUAGUGACAGGAUUAGGGGAAAUGGCUUUCAAGUGGAAGAGGGUAGAUUUAGACUAGAUAUCAAGAUGGAAUUAUUUACCGUGAGAGUGAUGAGACACUGGAACAGGUGGUCCAGAGAGGCUGUGGAUGCUCCCACCCUGUAAGCAUUCAAGGCCAGGCUGGAUGGGGCUUUGUGCAACCUGGUGUAGAGGGAGGUGUCCCUGCCUGUAGCAGGGGAUUGGAACCAGAUGAUCUUAAACAUCCCUUUCAACCCAAACCAUUCUAUGAUUCUAUAAUUUAUAAUGGGAAGGCUACAUAUAAUUGACUUAAAUUCCUCCACCAGAAACUGCACAUUUUCUCCAGAAUGAGCAAUUACUCAAGACCAAGGUCAGUAUUUUUGCAUGUAUUUACAGGCGUUAAGAGCCACCAAGUGUGAUGUAUAAACACAAUAAACAAUACUAUGCUACGCUAUAUACUAUAGUGCAGAGCAAAUCCCUGCAGGUGAGAGAUGCUCAUUAAAAUGUGAUUAAUAAGCAAUGGCUGUGCACCGAAGGGCAGAGGAGCUGAUUAACAGAAGACACAGGGUACAGAGGCUUCCAGGUGAAAUUUCAAGGAAAUGGAUUCCAGCCAAGCAAUGUACUUACAAACAUGAUACUCAUGGAAUGAAUGAGACCACCACUACCCUCAGCUGUGGUUAUCAGGCCAGAAAGCACCCUUGUUCCCCAGCAAUGAGCAGCACAAAUCCCAUUGUGCUGGUAGGAGUGUCAGGCUCACCGCUGCUGGCUGGUGUGGAGUCAGCUGGAGGACACAAGCCAGCUCUGCCGUGGUUUAUAUGGCAAUCCAUCUUCUUUCAGUCUUCUCUGGAGGCACAGUUCAGAAGAUCACAGUGGUCAGAUUUGCCUGGCACAACUGCCUUUCUGCGCUGGAAGACUUUAUACAGCCACAAGUCCUCCUGGGGUUUCGUCGCUUCCCAUUCCAUGACCAUACCUGCGUUGACAUCUAAUCUCACUGUACCACCCUUCACCUUUCAGAGCUGUAGCUAGCUAUGAAAACGCUACAUCAGCAAACCCAGCUUGUGAACUAGAUUGUAAGAAGCUGGGAAAGAAACAGCAAUUUUAAGAAAAGCUCUGACCUUCCCAAACUGUGCAAUCCACAUGGAGGGUGGGGAAAGGUGAAAUUCUGCAAACAAACUCCUGUCAUCGCUUCAGCUUACUAGCGUCAUAUUUGUUAAAUGCUAGCAGAACAAACCACAUUUUUCCACAUCAAGUGAAAGUAACAAAGGAAAAUGUUUAUCAGUCUCACAUAAUGUCAGAGCAGUGGUAUUUACGAGUAUGGAUUUGAGUGAAAUAAACGCUCCUUGUUUAUCACCAAUGGCUGCAAUUAUGCUGUCAAGUGAUAGAUGAGUGUUUUGAUUUCCUCUUCCUGCUGUCUUUUUACCUUCAACUUAUAUUGUAUGCUUGCCACUGUUUAUUCAUGUACUGUUACAGAACCACUGAGAGGGGUUAUUAAUCAAGAGUAUUUAUUUUUCAAAGCAGUCACGCCAUGCCGUCAUGGAUACAGCUGAUGCUUAUCCCUCCUCCCCCAGCAAGCAACAGUGGACAUGAGGCUCAGAGCUAAAUCAACAGUCCUUUCAGUCACAAAUGGAUACAGAUAACAGGCUAAGGAUGAAAUAAAUUGCCUGCAAUCUGCCUUUGUCCCCAAGUCUGGGCACAACUGAAUCCCCAGGGAGCAUACUGGUGUAUAGGAUUGUUUUGCCAGGAUAUCUAAGAACUGCUGCACAGUAGGCUUCCUGCUGAGAUGGCAAGAAAGUAGAGCAGUCAAUAGAUCUACUCACAAUCACGGUCUUUUUCCUGGUAACAUGUUCUGCUCCUUCUUUAAUAGUCUACAGGUAAUACGGACAAAGAGUCUUUAUUUUACCAUUCUGUAACUGCCUGAGUACAUUUCCUGGCAGCAGAGAACUUUAAAUCUUUGGAAAAGUAACAGUAUGCACAGGCAUCCACUUGCAACAGAGCCUUUGGUUUGCCUUUUGAGCAAAAGAAACCUAUUCCUUAGCAUAAGAGACGGGAGGACUAAUGGCAAAUAGGGAGAAACAGAAACAGCAACUGAAGCAGGUUGCCAACAUUCUCCUCAUGUUGAAGUCUCAUUUGAAUUCACAUUUAUUUUUCUAAAUCUAUGGUACCCUUUAAGCUCACAUUUGAUCCUUGGUGUUUACCAAGGCAAGCACUGAAAGCUCAUUCAAAAUAUAAGGAAGUACUGGAGAGAAUCUCACAGUCCUGGAACCUUUGGCUGAGGAACUAAGUAGGAGAACGUAUAUUUCUGUGUCAUGAUCUCAUCACUGACAGUCCAGGGUAAAGUCCAAGUAAAAACAAACCAACAAACAAAACGUAAGUACAAACCAACUGAAUGACACCCUGGAGACUUAUUAAGCAGCUCCCAGGAGUAGCUCCAGGGCUUUGACUCCCGCCCCAGGCAAGCAGCUCCCUACCACCUCCCUCCUCCCCUUUUUAGCAGCAGUGCAAGCCCAGCCCAACAGCGUCCUGCACGAUACUCACAGCUCUCCUGUACUUGCUAUGCUGUUUCCAUACAGGCAUGAAGUGAUCUCCUCAUGCAGAGUUUGUGUGCACCAGAAUUAUUUUGUUAACCAGAGCAGGACACAAACUAGGCAGUUGGAAAGCUCCUGAUCUACACAUGUUUGACAGCAAGUAUUGAAAUGCUGCAACUUCUAAACUCUGCUGCAUUAUCAGGAAAUGGAAGAUCAAAGAUCUCUUCAGGAAAUAACAACUAUCCUGUACGUGUGACAGACUGCACUCACUGCUAGCAUUGCAGCCAAAACAUUGCAUACUGCUGCUUGUUUGCUACACUGUAUGGGUUAUUGCAUCACAUGUGCUGUGAGAUGCCUGUACUUGCAGAGCCACUGUUACUGAAGGGGCAGCAGAAGGGGAAUGCUGUUAUUGUGUAUGCUGAUUAAAUCAGAUAUUUGAUUUUAAAUUUGGCUGAAUCCAACUAAGAGAGUAUUGCCAGGAUGUAGACAUUUACCUGAUCACAUUUUCAUACCUCGGUCUCCAAUGAUCUCUCUCAGACUACUUCAAUGCUGUAGCUAUAUAAAGCCUCUUUUAAGAUAGCAUGGGAUUUCUUCAAGCUAUUACAAAAAAUUCAAAAUAACCUCAGGGACUGGCAGAGAUUUCAUAAAGACAAGAACAUCCCUUUUAUAUUGGUAUCAGUAAGGAUUUUUUUAAGGUAUGUGACAUCUUGCGAUGAAGCUGCAAAGAUGAACAGACAGCACUACUAAAAUAUUAAUAGUAGCUCAAGAGAUGUACAUUCUUUAACUACUGUAGGGCUUGUAAAUAAACGUUCAGAUGGCACCCUGACAGUUACACAGACACCUGCUUCUGUACAUGAGAGGAUUUACAGCGUCCAGAAGACCAGACUUAUAAACAGAAAAUCACAUGAAGAAUAAAAGGAGUGUACAGAAGCCCACUAUUAAAAGGUAGAGUAGGAGAAAAAUAAUCAUUAGCAUAAAGAGAAAUCCUUCACAUUCGACCUGUUUUAUGAAGGCUCUCCCGUAACACCACAAGAAUCCAAGGCAGAGACAACUGUAGAUGCAGUGAUGUGACUCCAGAGAACAUGCAAGGGAGCCUCUGUGAAGAAGCUAUCAGUGAAAGUGGCCAACAGGUGGCCACUGCAGUCUUAGUGAUUCUUUGUUACUGAGCGUUUCCCACCUGAACAGCUCCUUACCAUACACACUGUAGGCGCUCUCUGAAGAGACAGACAAUGGUUGACAUGAUCCCUCCUCUAUGAAACUUGAUGGGUAUCUGCUAAUUCAACUCAGAACAACAUUAAAGCGAAAGGAAAUUGCUCUGAUGAAAAGAAGGAAAUAAAACAAGCCCAGGUUGCUACAGAUCAAUAUAUUUUCCCUUUUUAUUCUGAACUAUUCUUUACUAAGUUGGAUUUGCAUCCGAUUUAUUCACCCCCUCAGAUGCUAAAGCACAUCGGAAAGGUUUUUUUUGACUGAUCAGAGUUGGCCAGAUUAGUUUCCACAGAGGACAAAACCAGUUUGGUAGUAUUCAGAAGAUCAAACUAAGGCCAUCUCCAAUUGUUUCCAGAAAUGUGACAGUUUUCACAGUCUGUGGCACAGGACAAAAGAUCACUGAAGACAAACAGGUGAUAAGCUUUGCAGCCUGUCACCUGCUGAAUUAUCAAUAGUCUUAAGUUUUUACCUGACCAAAACAGCACUAUAUGAAAUGUCCGGGUCAGUUGGUCGGAUUGCAAUUCAUUGGUUUACUUUUAUACAGCAUUGCAAAGUUGAUGAAAAUAACAAAAUUCUGCGUUUUCAAAGGUGUCAAAAACAUUAUGCAUAUGUGACCGAUGGAUCUGUGAACUGGAACAUGUCCUGGUCAUACAAGUCUUCUGGUAGUUUUUCAUCUCCAUCAGCAAAAAACGUGGGGAAAGGAGGGUUUUUAUUGCAGUCUUUGUAAACACGCAGCUUUGUAUCUCUGACCUAAAAGCAAGAGAGGAAAAGGAAGGUUAAUACAUCUUACAGAAGACUUUCAGACAGCAAGGCACAAUAAAUGGAGGAAAUCAUCUAGCAUGACUAAG